rnacentral:lncRNA from 9 species
GUACGUGCAGAAAUUUUAUUUAAAACCUGAAAAGAAUUAUCAGAAAAUUCAGGGCCAAUAAGAAUUUUCUAUGAGAAAGCAGGAUAUGGGGAAAAAAGUCCAGUAAUCAAAGAUGUUCCCCUGGGCUCUGCAAUACAUAGACCACAUGAAAAUACAACAGGAUGGCAUAUUCACAGUGGCAUCAAGAAUCCCAAAAGUCCUAGGAACGACCAAACCCCAAAUAGCCAGGACUGUGUGAAAUUCCACUGAGACAGCAUCACUCUAAAUUGAAUAAUGGAGAUAAAUAUCAAUAUUUGAAAGUUGUUCUUUCUUUGGAAAUUAAUGUACAUAUUUAACAAUAUCAAAAAAAUCUUCAGAAGGAAACAUGUUGGAAUCAAAUAAUUCUAAAAUCCAUUUAAAUUAGAAAACCAAGAAUACCUAUGAAACAGAGUGAAACAGCAAAUUUUAAAACAUCUAAUAAAACCACAAGAAUUAAAUCAGCAUGGCAUUGGGCUAUUACCAGAAAGUCCAAUGAGAAAAUACACAACCCAGAGAGUUUCUGGGGUAGAAAACCUUCACAAAAGGCGAAGGUUGCAUCACCUCAGGGCAGGCAGGGGUGUGAAUCGGGGGCGGGGGGGGGGGAGGUGUUCAAUUAAUGUGAUAAGUCAAUUGAUGAGCCCUUGGGAGACAGACUUAUUUACUUAUUCCUCAGCAAAUGGAAGUUCCUGGACCAGGGUAGAAUCUGAGCCGCAGCUGUGACCUAUACCACAGCUGCAGCAACGCUGGCUCCUUAAUCCACUGCCCCAGGCCAGGGACUGAAUCUGCACCUCUGCAGUGACCUGAGCCACUGCAGUCAGAUCCUUAACCCCCUGGGCCACAGCAGGAACUCUGGGGAAGGAUUAUUUAGAUCCUCACUGCAUACCAUGCAACACAAAUAUCAGAGAAAAACAAACCAUAAACAAAUGGGCACUAGCAUUUAUCUGGAUUUGGAUAUGUGGAUUUCCUACAUGUAAAAAAUCAGUACAAAAAUUAAAAAGGAAACCAUUGAUACAUUGAAAGAUGCUGUGAUGUAUACAUAUCAAUGCAUAUUUUUCUUUUUUUGUUUGUUUGUUUUUUGUUUUUGUCUGUUUGCCUUUUCUAGGGCCGCCUCCCUCGGCAUAUGGAGACAAAAAAAAAAAAUACUGAUGGCAUUUUUCACAGAACAAAACAAAUAAUUCCAAAACUUGUAUGGAGUCACAAAAGACUCUGAAUAGCCAAAAAGAUCAUCAAAAGGCAUCACACUCCUUGAUUUCAACCUAUACUACAAAGCUACAGUCAUCAAAACAGUGUGGUACUUGCACAAGAACAGAAACACAGAUCAACAGAACAGAAUAGAGAGCCCAGAAAUGAACCCAUGCUUAAACUGCAAAUCAAUCUAUGGCAGAGGAGGCAAGAACAUACGGUGGGGAACAGACAGCCUCUUCAAUAACUGUGUUGGGAAACUGGACAGCUACAUGCACAAGAUUCAAACUGGACUCCUUUCUUACACAUACAAAAAUAAACUCAAAGUAGAUUAAAGACAUACAUGUAAGGCCUGAACCAUAAAACUUCUAGAAGAAACAUAAGUCAUAGACUCUUCAACACUGGCUUUAGCAAUAUUUCGUUGGGUGUGUCUCCUCAGGCAAGGGAAACAAAAGCAAAAAUAAAUAAAUGGGACGACAUCCAACUAAAAAGCUUCUGCACAGUGAUGAAAACCAUCAGCAAAACAAAAAGGCCACCUACUGAAUGGGAGAAAAGAGUUGCAAAAGAUAUAUCUGAUCAGGGGUUAAUAUCCAAAAUACACAAAGAAUUCACACAACUGAACAUGAAAGAAAACGCACAACCCAAUUUAAAAAGUGGGCAGAGGAUUCGAAUAGGCAUUUUUCCAAAGAACACAUGCAGAUGGCCAACGGGCCCAGAAAAAGAUGCUCAGCAUCACUAAUCAUCCGGGAAACGCGAAGCAAAACAAUGAGCUGCCACCUCACAGCCGUCAGAACGGCUGUCAUCAAAAAGACCACAGUAAGUGUGAGCAAGCAUGUGGGGAAAGGGACACUC